CGGAUUGCAGGCUGCAACCCGCCUGCAUGAAGUCGGAAUCGCUAGUAAUCGCGGGUCAGCAUACCGCGGUGAAUACGUUCCCGGGCCUUGUACACACCGCCCGUCACACCACGAAAGUUGGUAACACCCGAAGCCGGUGGCCUAACCCUUAGGGGAGGGAGCUGUCGAAGGUGGGACUGAUGAUUGGGGUGAAGUCGUAACAAGGUACC
rnacentral:rRNA from 1 species